GUGGGGAAUCUUGCGCAAUGGGCGAAAGCCUGACGCAGCCAUGCCGCGUGAAUGAUGAAGGUCUUAGGAUUGUAAAAUUCUUUCACCGGGGACGAUAAUGACGGUACCCGGAGAAGAAGCUCCGGCUAACUUCGUGCCAGCAGCCGCGGUAAUACGAAGGGGGCUAGCGUUGCUCGGAAUUACUGGGCGUAAAGGGCGCGUAGGCGGACAGCUUAGUCAGAGGUGAAAGCCCAGGGCUCAACCUUGGAAUUGCCUUUGAUACUGGCUGUCUUGAGUUUGGGAGAGGUGAGUGGAACUCCGAGUGUAGAGGUGAAAUUCGUAGAUAUUCGGAAGAACGCCAGUGGCGAAGGCGACUCACUGGCCCGUUACUGACGCUGAGGCGCGAAAGCGUGGGGAGCAAACAGGAUUAGAAACCCGAGUAGUCC
rnacentral:rRNA from 1 species